rnacentral:rRNA from 1 species
GCUGGCGGCACGCCUAACACAUGCAAGUCGAACGAAGUAGCAAUACUUAGUGGCAAACGGGUGAGUAUGAUGUGGGUAUCUGCCCUUUGGUAUGGAAUAACACGAGGAAACUUGUGCUAAUACUGUAUAAGCCUUCACAGGGAAAGCUUUAUGCGCCAAAGGAUGAGCCCGCACUUGAUUAGCUAGUUGGUAAGGUAAUGGCUUACCAAGGCAACGAUCAAUAGCUGAUCUGAGAGGAUGAUCAGCCACAUUGGGACUGAGACACGGCCCAAACUCCUACGGGAGGCAGCAGUGGGGAAUCUUGCACAAUGGGGGAAACCCUGAUGCAGCGAUGCCGCGUGAGUGAAGAAGGCCUUUGGGUUGUAAAGCUCUUUCGUCGGGGAAGAAAAUGACUGUACCCGAAUAAGAAGGUCCGGCUAACUUCGUGCCAGCAGCCGCGGUAAUACGAAGGGACCUAGCGUAGUUCGGAAUUACUGGGCUUAAAGAGCUCGUAGGUGGUUAGAAAAGUUAGUGGUGAAAUCCCAAGGCUUAACCUUGGAACUGCCACUAAAACUUUUUGACUAGAGUGUGAUAGAGGUAAGCGGAAUUUCUAGUGUAGAGGUGAAAUUCGUAGAUAUUAGAAAGAACACCAAUUGCGAAGGCAGCUUUCUGGAUCAUUACUGACACUGAGGAGCGAAAGCAUGGGUAGCGAAGAGGAUUAGAUACCCUCGUAGUCCAUGCUGUAAACGAUGUGUGCUAGACGUUGGAAAUUUAUUUUUCAGUGUCGCAGCAAAAGCGUUAAGCACACCGCCUGGGGAGUACGACCGCAAGGUAAAACUUAAAUGGAAUGACGGCA